AUCAUUAUCUGACUGAUGCAAUGUUCACAUUCACCUAGCACAAACACAUGAACAGGGAGAAGAUGAUCUGGAUCCUUCUGCUCGUCGGCCUGACCUCCUCUGUCUGUGGGAUGUUUGUCUUGAAAAAGACUCCGACCUUCUAUCAGGCAGAGGAGGACGAUAACAUCACCAUCGGAUGGGACAGUCCCAUCAUGUCCCUCACCAUCCUGAGUUGUUUCUUCCAGUCAGAGCCUCUGAAGCUUUUCUAUGAAAUGGUUGACGGUGUGGAGUCCUCAGAGUCUCAGCAUCAGCAGUUUGCAGGACGGGUGCAGUGUGACAAAGGCGCCCUCAGAGGAGGACGAGUCAGACUUCAUGUGUCCAGAGUCACGACUGAUGACUCUGGACGUUACUGGUGUGAUCUGGCUGCUAAUUAUGACAAGAUCAGGAGAAGAUGGAGGCUAGAGACCACUGAACAUUUCAUCCUGAAUGUGACCUCUGGUGGAGACAACAGUGAUGUGUUCCUCACAACACCAAUGUUACCUGAAGAUCCAAACCACACAGCAAAAGAGCCGAAGAAGGAAAACAAAUCAGCUUAUUGGGAUAACGUAAAAAGAGGUAUCGGAGCUGCAAAUGUCGGACUUGUAAUAUUUGGUUCUAUAAUAUUAGCAGCACUCAAUUUUCCCUCUUCUAUUGUUUGGAAUGUGAUAUACAAACAAGAUUCUGCAAGUUGACUCUCAAACUGCACUGAAACAAGCUUUUGCUCCAUACCAGCACUUUCAACUACUAACAUAUACUUAACUCAUUAAUCUGAAUAUAUUGUAGUGGUGUGUGUUUGUACAUAUUGUAUUGUAUAUAUUUCAUAUUGAAUGCAGUGAUUGUAGAUGUAUAUCUGAAUGUGUUUGCCUUCGUCCAUGCAGUCCAUUGAAACUUGAGUCAGAGCAUCCAUCACAGUGGUGGAUGUGAGAAAAGUUACUAGCUCACAAUAUGGGUCAGAGGAAACAGUGUGAUCACAGUUUCGUACCAUGGACAAAAAAUAUAGUAGUUUCUCGUUGGCUGAGAUAAAAGAUAAACCUGCCUACCUCAUCUACCAUGUAUAAUCUAUGACAUUUCACAUUUUUUUUUACCCAUUUUGUAUUUAAAGCUCAAUGUGAGGAAUUUAUUCAUGAUAAAAUAUAUUUUUCUUUAUAUUCUAUGGAUCAUGUAGCUGACUCCUGCAGGAUGUAAUGAAGUGUUCAGGUUCCCUGAAGAUCCUUUAGAUCUGCCUGUUCUGAUGUGUUAUGUACACUGGCAAUAAGCUUUAACCUUUUCUUGUUGUAAUGUGCAAUUUAAACUGAAAUGUACUGUUACUGUUUUAUUGUUGCGGUUAUUUACUGUGUUACUGAUUAUAAUUCUUUCAUUGUAUGUGUGCUGUAAGAAAAGCUUUGAGUUGUUCACACUGCUAUUAAGGAUGAAGAUCAGCAGAGGGAGCUCUUUACUUUAAGUUAGGUCGUCUUGUUUCAGUGGAUUUUGUUUUCCAAGUUAAGGUUGUGAAAAGCUAUCAAGCUUUCAUUAGUUGCAUUUUGGUUUAAAGUAGUUUCACUAAGAAGAUUAAUAUUAUAUACGUAUGUGAUUUAAUUGAUAACAUUCUUCCUCUUUUAUUCACUUUAUCUUAUGAACUUUGGUUUUAUUGAGUGUUUAAGAUUUUAUACCUUAAAGUUAAAUAAAUAAAUCUAAUGAAUAUUUCUGGAAUAAAAUAAAUAAAUACAAACUUUGUUGUUUCCAUUUUUGUCAGAACUUUCCUUUUUCUGUGGUUGUAGUAAAACACCAACUCACAUUAUACUAUGUGUACUAUGUACAAUAAGUACACAUUAUAAUCAGUAUGAAAGCACUGUAACAAUGGCCAUCAUAAUAUUAAGAUAUAAUCAUUAUUGCUGCUGUUCUUUUUAUAAUUCUGUGUCUUGUUGAUUCCAGUCAAACUUAUUCAAUAGUCUUAUAAAACAUGUUAUACUCUAUAUAUGAUUUUGUGUUUCCAGUUUCACUUCAAAUCUCACAUUCAAUUUCUCUGAGGCUUCAUAUUAAAAUCAUCAACUGAAGGCGGCUGCAGUUUUCAGAAGCAGUGUCUCUCCACUGACCACAGUGCAUGAUGGGAAACUCUCUGCUUGCCCCCUAAUAUAAAACUUGUUAUGCAAUGCGUAUUAGUAGUAGCCUCUUUGUUAGUCAUUACAAAGUAUGAAUGCCUUAUUCUGAAUGAGCUCAUUCUACAACUACUAGGCCAUGAAGAGUUUCCCCUCAAUAACCUGCUAAUUACUGAUUAUUGACACUAACUGAGGAAGUUGUUGUCAUCAAUUAUGAUCUUAAUGUGCUUUGUUCAGUAUGGACAUUAUAAGGUGGUUGUACCACAAGAACGCUCAUUCUCUCUUAAUAACACUUAAUAAAUAUGCUCUAUUCUAAUGUAACAAAACAGACAGUUGAACUAUUAAAGGUGGUGGGCUGUUUUAUUCAUUUCAUUAUGUUUUUUUAAAGAAAUCCAUGAAAGAAAAAUACCUAAAUAGACAGAUCAGUUUAAAGUCUUAACGUUUAUUGUCAUUGUUUUUGAUCAACUUUUACUUCUUGACAUUCUGGGUGUCUUGAACACACCCAAGUAAUAACAGCCUCUCUCAUAUGAAAAUAGGAUUAAAAAAUAAAUGUACAAACAGUACAUUAGGAAACUGUGAAUCAACAAGACAACAGAAUUAUAACAACUAAUUUAAACACAAAACCAAAGAAUACAAUGUAAUACAAAAAUAUAUAUUUUAUAUUACAAUUAGUUUUCUGACACUUUAAACAGAUGUUGAAGGUAGAGAGUGUCAGAGUCUGUUGGUUUCAUCAGUCAGGUGAUAAACAGUUCUGAUAGAAAGUCCUCCAGACAGAGUCCUGUUAGUCCUGAUGGGUUGUGUCAACAUCUGUACAGCUGCAGAGAUGUUUCCUGUUAGCACGUUUCACUCACACGACCGGAGACUUUUCUUUUCUUUGUUUCUUUUUUUUUUUCUCUGUGGUAAAUCUUCUGUCCGUCUGCUCGCGGCCACUUGUGACACCACGUGUUGUCUUCUUGAACUUAUAAUAAGCAGACGAGGCGUGAUAGCUGGUCUUUCAUGUUUACUUCACAACUUGCACAUAACAACAGUUCAGUGCUACCCGCGUGGCUACAAACAACAACCGGCAGUAAUGGAGUUCUUAACCUAGUGUACUCAUAACAUCACAGUAGGAGGUCCUCUAAUGGAGCUACAGGCUAUCUACAGUACUCAGAUCAAUGUCACGCCUCAACACACGUCACGAACACUCCUGCGUGUGUACAUAAAGCUGUCGUACACAAAUACAAAUACAAACAGCAACUGGAGCACUUUAGGAGUUGAAAGGAUCGAACCGACAACCUUCCGAUUAGUGACCGACUCACUCUACCUCUGAACCACAGUCUCUCUGUCAGUAUAGUAUCUGUGGAACUUGGAACAAGGAAGAGACGAUGACCACCCGUUUGUUUUAACUGCAGACAGCCAGGUGAGUAAUGAAUCCUAUAUUGAUGUUGGUGUUCAGUGCGGUUAUUUCUUGAAUGACACCCUGGGCGAGACCCCCUUCUUGUUAGCCAUUUCACACAAUUCAGAAAAACAAAAAUGUGCAUGAACUAUAAGCCUGUAUUUAUUAUAUUAUAUAUAUAUAUAUUCUAUGUAUUAAUAAAUGUGCGUUAUUUAGAAGAAAGUCGAGGUAUGACAGUGGAUCCCCUCCUUGUCUGUUCCAUAUAAGGGAGACCCAGAGGUGAAGUGCCCCAACCCCCCCUCCCCUUCUCUGGUGACAAAGCACACAGACACUGAAGAGUAGAGCUGUUAAGGCUGGGCAGCAUGUGUAACUUCCUAAAUCUGACUAGUUAAUGAACUGUUAAUAUAUGUUGACCUGCCCUUUUCAACCAUCCAGUCUUCAAUGUUACUAAUUCUUUGAUUUUGAUGAACUCUCUAUUUUGAAAUGACAACGUUUGAUGUGUUCAGAUUUGGACACACUGGGUCAACUUGUAUGGGACACUGUUAGAGAUGUGUGUACCCAGACGUUUGUUGUUCAGUGUGGUUGAUCUGUCCAUAAAGCCAUUUGUAGAUUUCCUCAAGCAGUUUUAUCCUUUUGUUAACUGUGAUAUUGUAAUGCACCUGAUCUGAUAAAACAUCAUGUUUACUGAACAUGCUGUUUUUAUUGAUGCAUUUCAAACUUUUUAUCACACGAUGGUGUAUGACUCUUGACUUGGAGGAUUAAAUAGUUUGUUCAACAUAUUUCAAGGGGACUUAUCUACUUGUUUGGCUCUGAUUCUUAUAUUGUAAGAUCAGCAUCGUUGUUUGUGUUUAUUUAUCAUUCCUUUAUAUGUUGGCAGUAUUUAUAUUGAACCCUUAUUAAACAUGUUUAUUCCUUAAAACAACUAAAAUAAAGUUAAUAUAAGUAAAGUUAAAGAUAGUUAUAAAAAGUUCAUCAACCACUGACAACAUAUGUGUUGAACACAGUGUUCAACAGGGCAAUAUAUGCUGUACCUAGAACAGGUUAGUCAAGUUUUCUCUCAUUCUCACACAGUAAAAUAAUCACCUGGUACAAGGUUGUUCACCAUUAGUUGGUGCUGUUGUUGCUUCCUUGUCUGUCCACGUACUUUCAGCACAUGGUGUUUUUAUUAUAUAUGAAACUGUUGUUUCAUUUUUAUUUGUGGAUUCACACAAACACAUUUAAUCAAACUUCAUCUGAUGAUUGUUUUACUGAGUAACCAUCAAAGAUGUUGGAUUGAACUCUCAAUGUCCUCUUCAGCUCCAUGUUUCCUGCUGAUGGUGCAGAGUUUAACCUCUGGUGUCAUCAUAUAAAAAGAUAUACAUCACUAUGUAUGUGUUUAUGACUCUUCACCGCUGUCUCCUCUCACAGGGAGAAGAUGAUCUGCUGGAUCCUGCUGCUCAUCAACCUGACCUCCUGUGUCUGUG
ensembl:lncRNA